CUGGACAGAUGGUAUCUGAGCCAGAGUGAGAACUCAGACCUCCAGUCUAAUGCCCUUCAAAUAGUGAAAGCCAGUCACAGUCGACAGAUAAGAACCACACAAAAUAGGAAAGGAAGUGAUGGCGUUUCAAGGGAAACAGGCACCUGUUGCCUCGGUAGCAAAAGCAGCAACGGUCGCUUUGUAAAAAGUUUUAAAAAUACCCCCCAAGUCUUUCAGGAGUAAGUGCUGCUACACGGGCCGAGGUCUGCGGGUGCUUCCACCCUUGUAUUCCUAGGAGGGCCGUCUCGGUUCUCACCACCCAUGCCGAUGGACUUUGGGCCAUGCUGACUUCUGGCCUCUCAGCGCGCCCACCUGACGAACACGGGCCCAGCUGGGAGGGAGAAGGACCAAAGGCUCCCAGGUCAGCUGAGCCAAACGUACAAAGUGUCUGGAGCCAUUGGUGAUAUUAAAUGUUAAACGCGGGCGUGUAGGAAUCAGUCAUGAGUGCCCUAGGUGUUCUUAGGUAUGUGGCGUCGUGAUGGUUUCCGGGUAAACAGAUUUCAUAACAACUGUCGCCCUGCCCGGCAGACACCUCGGGACUCCUGGGUGUCCUGUUCCCUGGAGGAAUUGCUCUCAGGAGCUGUGAAACAGAAACAUCCUCAGGCUGGCAGAACUGCUGAUGCCUCAGAUGCUCUGUUGUUCUUGUGGUGGCUUCUGGGCUAUGGAAGGGGCACGAUCCCCUCGGCAGCGGCUGUUCUCUAGAGGAGCUGAGACUCCCUGUAUGAGAUGAAUAGAGCUGUGCCCCCCUGGAAAACGGUUCAUGAUUACGAUGGUGGCGAGCUUCGUGGCCAUGGCGGGCCAGUUCCUCAUGCCCGGGCUAGCCGCCUUGUGCCGGGACUGGCAGGUGCUGCAGGCCCUCAUCAUCUGCCCCUUCCUGCUCAUGCUGCUCUACUGGUCGUGAGUAUCCUCUGCACAGCACGCUGGGCUGGUGCGUCUGCACGUGCUUCCUGAAGGCCCAGCCCCGGGCAGGACACAGGAUCCCCACACUUCCUGCUAGUUUCAGCUUGUGGUUCUGUCUGAGAAGGUUUUCCUCUCUUUUUAAAAAAUGUUAUUUUUUGAACUUUCUGUCUUGGAAAAAUGUUCAAAUAUACACAAAAGUAGA